rnacentral:rRNA from 1 species
UGGGGAAUAUUGCACAAUGGGCGCAAGCCUGAUGCAGCCAUGCCGCGUGUGUGAAGAAGGCCUUCGGGUUGUAAAGCACUUUCAGCGGGGAGGAAGGCGGUGAGGUUAAUAACCUUGGCGAUUGACGUUACCCGCAGAAGAAGCACCGGCUAACUCCGUGCCAGCAGCCGCGGUAAUACGGAGGGUGCAAGCGUUAAUCGGAAUUACUGGGCGUAAAGCGCACGCAGGCGGUCUGUCAAGUCGGAUGUGAAAUCCCCGGGCUCAACCUGGGAACUGCAUUCGAAACUGGCAGGCUAGAGUCUUGUAGAGGGGGGUAGAAUUCCAGGUGUAGCGGUGAAAUGCGUAGAGAUGUGGAGGAAUACCGGUGGCGAAGGCGGCCCCCUGGACGAAGACUGACGCUCAGGUGCGAAAGCGUGGGGAGCAAACAGG